UCACCCCUCAAGCCUGGCUUGAUGUUGGAUCUAGGUCUGGGAUAACCCCCCACGACCGGUCCCAAAGACAAUGACGGCGUCCCCUGGACCCUUGGUGCAACGAGCUUCUUAACCGAGCACGCAUCGAGUUUUCAAGGUCCCGGGGCACGGUCCUCACCUUUUAUCAUUUACAA
rnacentral:misc_RNA from 1 species